GACGAACGCUGGCGGUGUGCUUAACACAUGCAAGUGGUGCGACGAACCAGAGCUUGCUCUGGGGCAAAGCCGCGAACGGGUGAGUAACACGUGGGUAAUCUACCCCGAUGACCGGGACAACCCGAGGAAACUCGGGCUAAUACCGGAUGUGGUGCGGAGACAUAAGUCUCUUCACUAAAGGUAGCUUCGGCUUCCGCAUUGGGAGGGGCCCGCGGCCCAUUAGCUUGUUGGUGGGGUCAAGGCCUACCAAGGCAACGAUGGGUAGCUGGUCUGAGAGGACGAUCAGCCACACUGGGACUGAGACACGGCCCAGACUCCUACGGGAGGCAGCAGUGGGGAAUCUUGCGCAAUGCGCGAAAGCGUGACGCAGCAACACCGCGUGAGGGAAGAAGGCCUUAGGGUUGUAAACCUCUUUCAGAUGGGACGAAGGUUCUCCGGUGAAUAGCCGAGAGGAUUGACGGUACCGUCAGAAGAAGCUCCGGCUAACUACGU
rnacentral:rRNA from 1 species